CCAGGUGUGCCUCGGCGGGGCGGAGAAAACCGGUUCUGACCUUCGCUGCCUGGUGGAGAAGGGCGAGGGGAGCGUGAAGCCCUUCGGAUCGCCCCCGCCGCGUCCCGCCCACUCCCCGCCGCGACUUCCUAUUCGCUGCCAACCGAUGUGCGCCGGUGACGUCACCGCGUUCACCAUCCCGGAAGUGCGCGUGGCGGUGACGACGGCGGCGGCAGCAACGGGGCCGAUGUAUAGUUGGUGACUGCCUCUCCAGAUGCUGAGGUGCUUGUAUCGUUGGCACAAGCCAGUACUGAGCUGUAGGUGGAGUAGGCUGUGCCUUCUGAAGCAGUAUCUAUUUACAAUGAAGUUGCAGUCUCCAGAAUUCCAGUCGCUUUUCACAGAAGGAUUGAAGAGUCUGACAGAAUUAUUUGUCAAAGAGAAUCAUGAAUUAAGAAUAGCAGGAGGAGCAGUGAGGGAUUUAUUAAAUGGAGUAAAGCCUCAGGAUGUAGAUUUUGCCACCACUGCUACCCCUAUUCAAAUGAAGGAGAUGUUUCAGUCGGCUGGGAUUCGGAUGAUAAACAACAGAGGAGAAAAGCACGGAACAAUUACUGCCAGGGUGAGUGAAAAGUUUGGCAGUUAAUUACAUUGCUUUUUUGGUAAUUUUUAAAAAUUUAAUAAUUUUCUCUAGUUAAAAGCAAAUAACAAAAACUCUAAUAAAAAACAUUAGUCUUCUCUACCCCUGUCUUAAAACCUGCAGUCCUCUGUUCUUGCAG